CUUGGACCAUACAACAUAUCAUUUGUCAAAGCCGAUGGGAUGAAAUUGGGAGACAUUUGUUGUUGUGUAAAUGUAUGACUAUCGCCAGCACCCUACACAUAUCAUAAUGUAACUAAAAUUGCCUUAGGUAUUCCAUGAUAGACACAAUCGAAUGAGACGUACCAUCAGAAGUUGUGAGUAUGAGACUAGUGCCUGCAUGUAGUACGAGAUAGAUUCGACUUCUGCCAAUUUACUUAGGCUUGCCUUAGGUCUCCUCCCCCUGAAGUUGGACGGGACUGCAUAACACAAAAAAAAUUAUUACUACUAUGCGCUUUCUUACAAAACAAAAUAAAUUGCAAAGUACCUUUGUUUUAUUAGAAUUCGAUUCCAGGUAGCUUUUCCUUUGGAGUUUCUUUGCUGCAACUUUUUUGUUCGAGCAUUUCGGAUCUUGUACACGUCCCUUCUCCAAGUCUUAACCGUCUCACUUGUUCAACAUAAUUUCAACAAUUCUUUUCGAUGCAAGUCAUAUUCUCAUACCCCCCCCCCAACUUCUAUAACUACAGAGUUGAAAAUUUUGUGCAACAGAAUCCAUGCCAUGACGUUCACUUCAAGUUGUCGUUUGAUAUGGGCACUCAAUUCUCGGUUGCAACGAUACAACCUGGACUUCGACGGGCUAGUUUUAUGAUUGUGAAUGAGAUUGACUAUAUUAAUUCUUCAUAUUCCGCAUGCAUCUACAGAUGCAAUCAGCCUAGCUUUACAACAUGUCUGAAUGGUAACGUGCAGCUUCAUAGAACUACUCAUGAUACUAUUUCUUCAACCUUCACAACUACAUAUAAACACAAUAUAUCUCACAAUUCCAUCAUCAUCUUUUUGCGAAUUUU
rnacentral:lncRNA from 1 species